rnacentral:rRNA from 1 species
CGGACGGGUGAGUAACGCGUGGGCAACCUGCCUUACACAGGGGGAUAACAGUUAGAAAUGACUGCUAAUACCGCAUAAGACCGCGGAACCGCAUGGUUCUGAGGUAAAAACUCCGGUGGUGUAAGAUGGGCCCGCGUCUGAUUAGGUAGUUGGUGAGGUAACGGCUCACCAAGCCGACGAUCAGUAGCCGACCUGAGAGGGUGACCGGCCACAUUGGGACUGAGACACGGCCCAGACUCCUACGGGAGGCAGCAGUGGGGAAUAUUGCACAAUGGGGGAAACCCUGAUGCAGCGACGCCGCGUGAGCGAUGAAGUAUUUCGGUAUGUAAAGCUCUAUCAGCAGGGAAGAAAAUGACGGUACCUGACUAAGAAGCCCCGGCUAACUACGUGCCAGCAGCCGCGGUAAUACGUAGGGGGCAAGCGUUAUCCGGAUUUACUGGGUGUAAAGGGAGCGUAGACGGUCCUGCAAGCCAGAUGUGAAAGCCCGGGGCUCAACCCCGGGACUGCAUUUGGAACUGUAAGGCUAGAGUGUCGGAGAGGCAGGCGGAAUUCCUAGUGUAGCGGUGAAAUGCGUAUAUAUUAGGAGGAACACCAAUGGCGAAGGCGGCCUGCUGGACGAUGACUGACGUU